rnacentral:rRNA from 1 species
AUGGCGGGAAAGAACAAUAUCUUUGGCUUUGGGUCUUUCGCGAUCAAGGAUGAGUCAGAGAUUCAUUUUUGGGAAGACAUCUGGCUAGGCAAUGCUAGUCUCCGAGAACAAUACCCAGCCUUAUCCAACAUUGCACGCGAUAAGAAUACUACUAUUGCGCAAGUGCUCAGCUCAUCCCCGCCAAAUAUUUCCUUCACGCAGGAUUUGAUUGGCACUAAACUUAUGUCAUGGAAUAAUCUCUUGUCCCAUCUGGAUUCGAUUAAUCUGACACAAGGACGGGAUGUGUUUUGCUGGAACCUUACUAUAUCAGGGUCUUUCACAGUAGACUCUAUGUAUCGUGCACUAACGCAUUCUGAGGUACCGGUGAGUAAUAACAAAAUAAUUUGGGAAGCAAAGGUACCACUUAAAGUGAAGAUAUUCAUGUGGUAUCUCUGUAGGGGAGUUGUGCUAACCAAAGACAACCACACACGACGCAACUAG